ensembl:lncRNA
CCGCCCCCCCACCCGACCACCCAGAGCGGCUUUGAGACGGGUUAGAGAGGCGGAGUUGGCUCUGCUUUUUUAUUUUUUUAUUUUGCUGUGAUUUUUUUCCUCUGACCCUUUUUUAUCCCCCUCUGUUUUUUCUUUGGGAUUGUUGGUCUGACGUUUUUUAACUGUUUUGAGUGGCGCUUUCCAGCGGAAUCAUUGGCUCGUGAUCCGAAUCCAUUUCAACUGUUUUCAAAUACAAAGAAUCUGUCGAGGGUCAGUUGCAGAUUCCCAUUUAGGCUACAUUUCAAAAUUCUGUUAAUAUAGCCCAAUAAAAUACCUUUUAAACUUACAAGUAUGUAAUAUAGAAACAAAAAGAAAUCUUAAAUGAAGUGAAGGUUAAAUACUCAAUGCUAAUGGAAUCAAUUCAUUCUUGAUGAUGGUUUGUUUUUAAAUAGUUCUAAAACGUUGUCCAUUAAGAUUUAGGCAGCAAUAUUUGUCACUGUCCUCAGAGUUUUGAAAUAUAGCCCUAAUAGACACUGUUGAGAUGGACUGUCCUCAUAUCCUCAAUUUGUUAUAGAUAUUAAAAAUGAAUCCUAAGACUCUGAAGACAAAAGAGAUGGGCCUCGUGUUAAAAACAGUCCAGGUCUUCAUUUUGUGAUCUGAUCCUCUAUAAACUGCAUGCAAAAAGUACACAAAGAAGGAUCGGGACAAAAAUCUCCACAUGGGUCUUCUCUUUCUGCAGAGAAGGGAUCCUGCAGCUCAGUCCCAACUCUUGUACAUAUUUUAAAACAUCCUAACUGUUCUUAUUCUGCCACUAGUAUCUGUACCCUCUCCAUAAAAUGCAUUAUGCUACAUGUGUAAGCUUGCCUAAAUAGGUUACUAAAUCUGUCCAAAAGAUGUUUUGCAGCAGUUUGUCAAUAAAGCUUAGUUUGUUUUUUACGAAACUUAACCUGCUUUAUUUGUUUCCUGUCCUAGUGAGACUCUGAAAUGGCCUUUUUUAAACAUUCAGCAGUCAGAUGACCCAGAGGUAAGACCUCUAAAAUAACCUGGAUAGCUUCCUAAUGUGUAUAGAGUUCUAAAGCAUUGAAUGCCUGGGUAUGUAUAAGACUUUUUCAAUCCUCUUACCUGUGGUCGUAACCGUUAACGAGAAUUGCUUUCCUAGCUGUAAAUUAACUGGAUUCAAACCACCAUCCAGGUCUUAGUCCUCAUUGUCCCGAAUGACGCUGGCACAGAGUAAUGGCCGUGCACUGGUUAUAACCUAGACAACUCCACCGUAAAGGCACCGGCUGUCGGUCACCCAGCGCCCCGGAGGAGGCUGGCGGUCUGCAGGAGGCCGAGCGAGCACACCCCAGGUUGGUCCGCCGGCGCCUUCAUUUCCAUCUCCACUCGCGUCAGCCACGUCGCCUCAAGUCGCGAUGGACGGACUCCAGGCCUCCAUCAGCGCGUGUUCGUACCAUGUCGGACUGAAUAAAUAUUAAACUAUAACAGAAAACAAUCCAGCUUCUUUAUUUAGCAGAUCUCGU